rnacentral:rRNA from 1 species
UACGAAGGGGGCUAGCGUUGCUCGGAAUGACUGGGCGUAAAGGGCGCGUAGGCGGUUUGGACAGUCAGAUGUGAAAUUCCUGGGCUCAACCUGGGGCUGCAUUUGAUACGUUCGGACUAGAGUGGGGAAGAGGGUCGUGGAAUUCCCAGUGUAGAGGUGAAAUUCGUAGAUAUUGGGAAGAACACCGGUGGCGAAGGCGGCGACCUGGUCCUUGACUGACGCUGAGGCGCGAAAGCGUGGGGAGCAAACAGG